rnacentral:rRNA from 1 species
GAUGAACGCUGGCGGUAGGCUUAACACAUGCAAGUCGAUCGCUGUCUUCGGACAGAGAGGCGCACGGGUGAGUAACACGUGGGAACAUGCCCUUAAGUACGGAAUAACACAUGGAAACGUGUGCUAAUACCGUAUACGCCCUACGGGGGAAAGAUUUAUCGCUUAAGGAUUGGCCCGCGUCCGAUUAGCUAGUUGGUGAGGUAAUGGCUCACCAAGGCGACGAUCGGUAGCUGGUUUGAGAGAAUGAUCAGCCACACUGGGACUGAGACACGGCCCAGACUCCUACGGGAGGCAGCAGUGGGGAAUAUUGGACAAAGGGCGAAAGCCUGAUCCAGCCAUGCCGCGUGAGUGAAGAAGGCCUUCGGGUUGUAAAGCUCAUUCAGAUGUGAAGAUGAUGACGGUAGCAUCAGAAGAAGCCCCGGCUAACUUCGUGCCAGCCGCCGCGGUAA